rnacentral:rRNA from 1 species
UACGUAGGGUGCGAGCGUUAAUCGGAAUUACUGGGCGUAAAGCGUGCGCAGGCGGUUCGCUAAGACCGAUGUGAAAUCCCCGGGCUUAACCUGGGAACUGCAUUGGUGACUGGCGGGCUAGAGUAUGGCAGAGGGGGGGUAGAAUUCCACGUGUAGCAGUGAAAUGCGUAGAGAUGUGGAGGAAUACCGAUGGCGAAGGCAGCCCCCUGGGCCAAUACUGACGCUCAUGCACGAAAGCGUGGGGGAGCAAACAGG